UACGUAGGGGUCUAGCGUUGUCCGGAAUUAUUGGGCGUAAAGAGCUCGUAGGCGGUUCGGCAAGUCGGAUGUGAAAUCUCCACGCUUAACGUGGAGGGGCCAUUCGAAACUGCCGUGACUCGAGUCCGGUAGGGGAGUGCGGAAUUCCCGGUGUAGCGGUGAAAUGCGCAGAUAUCGGAGGAACACCAGUGCGAAGGCGGAGCACUCUGGCCG
rnacentral:rRNA from 1 species